rnacentral:rRNA from 1 species
ACUCCAGACUCCUACGGGAGGCAGCAGUGGGGGAUAUUGCACAAUGGGGGGAACCCUGAUGCAGCGACGCCGCGUGAACGAAGAAAUAUUUCGGUAUGUAAAGUUCUAUCAGCAGGGAAGAAAAUGACAGUACCUGACCAAGAAGCCCCGGCUAACUACGUGCCAGCAGCCGCGGUAAUACGUAGGGGGCAAGCGUUAUCCGGAUUUACUGGGUGUAAAGGGAGCGUAGACGGCGACGCAAGUCUGGAGUGAAAGCCCGGGGCCCAACCCCGGGACUGCUCUGGAAACUGCGUCGCUGGAGUACGGGAGGGGCAGGCGGAAUUCCUGGUGUAGCGGUGAAAUGCGUAGAUAUCAGGAGGAACACCGGCGGCGAAGGCGGCCUGCUGGACCGUGACUGACGUUGAGGCUCGAGAGCGUGGGGAGCAAACAGGAUUAGAUACCCGAGUAA